rnacentral:rRNA from 1 species
GGAUCAUUACAGAGCAUCAUGCCCUUCGGGGUAGAUCUCCCACCCUGUGUCUUAUGUACCCUUUGUUGCUUUGGCGGGCCGCCCUCGGCCACCGGCUCCGGCUGGUGCGUGCCCGCCAGAGGAAACCAAACUCUGAAUGUUAGUGUCGUCUGAGUACUAUAUAAUAGUUAAAACUUUCAACAACGGAUCUCUUGGUUCUGGCAUCGAUGAAGAACGCAGCGAAAUGCGAUAAGUAAUGUGAAUUGCAGAAUUCAGUGAAUCAUCGAAUCUUUGAACGCACAUUGCGCCCGCCGGUAUUCCGGCGGGCAUGCCUGUUCGAGCGUCAUUACAACCCUCAAGCUCUGCUUGGCCUUGGGCGUCACCGGCAACGGUGGGCCUCAAACCCAGUGGCGGUGCCGUCUGGCUCUAAGCGUAGUAAUUCUUCUCGCUAUAGGUGCCCGGCGGAUGCUUGCCAGCAACCCCCAACUUCUUAAGGUUGACCUCGGAUCAGGUAGGGAUACCCGCUGAACUUAAGCAUAUCAAUAAGCGGAGGAAAAGAAACCAACAGGGAUUACCUCAGUAACGGCGAGUGAAGCGGUAACAGCUCAAAUUUGAAAUCUGGGCCUUUCAGGCUCCGAGUUGUAAUUUG